rnacentral:lncRNA from 1 species
UUUGGCUGCUGUAGUUGCUAUGAAAGCCUUCUUUCAUAUUUAGUAGGUUGUUUAUGAACAAGGCAAGCAACAAAGUCUUUUAUUCAUAACUUUUUUCUUUCGUUCUCUCAGGAAAGAUUGUCAGAUUAUCAAAAAAGUAAAGAAAACAGACUGAAUACUUAGUGAAGAAAGGGCUUACAAAAAGUGAAAACACAGCCAAAUAUAGCAUAUGAUAUCUUCCUGUCUUCUCUAUGAGAAAUUUACUCUUUUUCACAUCUCUACAGCAGCAUGUUUAGAAAAGUGUUAACUUUGUUUUCAAGUUGUCCCAUUCUGUCUUGUGCACAAGUUCGCAUAAGGUCAAACUGAUUUAUUCUGGGCCUGUUUAUUCUUUUGAAAUGUAUGUGUAGGAAUGUCAUAGCAUUUUCUUCCUGGAAAGUUCGCAAUUGCAAGAAUAAAGACAAGAACUACAGACCUGAUGUAAAUGCCUACAACAGAAAAAGGCCAGAUGAGAAAUCUGAAGAAGGUAUUAACAAACUUAGAAAACCGGGAAAAGUUUCUGGCUGGUACAUGCAAAAUCUACAGACACUUCAGAGGCUCCUCUACAGCCCAUCUCACUUUACAACAGCUAAAGAUGGAAAACAGCAACCCCUCUAUAAACUUAACUACUAAGGCCAGUGCAUCCCAGUGCAACCAUUAUCAGCUUCUCUCGACCUUCCAUUGACAGCUGGAAAUUUCAUCCUGCAAUUAUUCCUCCUGACGUUCUAAAAUGCAAGUGAGCAGAAAAUAUCCAAGACAUGCUUCACCGAACCUAUGGGUCAUCUAACAUUACUGAUGAGGAUUUUGGAAGAACAAGCAUAGCUACCUGAUGCACAGAGCACUUCAAGAUGAAUCGAAGAUCAGUCUGACAAAGAGAGGCCACUGGCAAGAACCACAGAGACAUUAAGAUUUCCAGCUCCUUCAAUUCCAAUAGGAUUUAGGGUCCUAAAUACCUUUGUAAACCUGAGUCAAAAUGCUCCUGAGCCCAAGUAAGAGAAAGCAUACAACUUUUCAAUUCUGUUGAAUCAUAUAAAUAUCCCUUUGUCCUAUAGAGUAGUUCAGAAAACUAUGAUCUUUUCCUCUGUCACUAUCUUUUUCCAUGAAAUGUAGAAGAAUCUAGCUUGACGGCUUGUUUUGUC